CGACCGGCGCACGGGUGAGUAACGCGUAUCCAACCUUCCCAUUACUGUGGGAUAACCUGCCGAAAGGCAGACUAAUACCGCAUAGUCUUCGAUGACGGCAUCAGAUUUGAAGUAAAGAUUUAUCGGUAAUGGAUGGGGAUGCGUCUGAUUAGCUUGUUGGCGGGGUAACGGCCCACCAAGGCUACGAUCAGUAGGGGUUCUGAGAGGAAGGUCCCCCACAUUGGAACUGAGACACGGUCCAA
rnacentral:rRNA from 1 species